UCCAGCUCCAUGCCUUGCCAGGUUCAUACUGUUUUUCCAGUGUUUUUUGCCAACCAUGAGCUUUCUGACAAACCAGAGUAGUCAGCCUUUGCUAUACUGUUAUUUUUUCACCUUAAAAAAAAAAAAAAGGAACACUUGCAUCUAAUAUUUAUCUUGAAUGUAGCUCAUCAAGAACCCAGUUGCUGAAAGGCUCUGUAGGAGUCCGACUGCUGGCUUGUGGUGCAUGCAGUGGUAAGACAGGUGCUGAGACUUUCACUGGCUCUCAAGUAACAAAAGUACUUCUCUAACAGCAGCUUUUGUUUAUUUUAGUUUGAUGAAUGCCAGGGUAGCAAACAGCAUGGGAAGAAACACAAAUAAGAAUGUAACAUCUUUACAAAUACGCCCAAAUCAUCUUGGGGAAGAGGGAACUGUGGACUGGACCUGGCUUGGAUAAGCUGGAAUGGAUCAGAGGUGUCAGAAUUCAAACUUUGGCAGUUGUGGAUACAUAGAUUUCUUGAGGAAUUUUUCAAGUUUGUGUUUAAAAGCCACAAGUAAAAGCCUCAUUCCUCUCCCACUGAGGAAAGUAUUCCUCCGAUUAUGAUAAUUAUGAUAAUUAUGAUCAGUAAGCUUUUCUUGAUACUCAGUGUAUGUUUUUGCUUCUCAGUUGCUCUCUGGACUCUGAUGUUCCUUGAGAAUCCUGCUGAAAAACGCCUUUCCUUCACUGGUGGUCUUCUUCAAAUAUCAGUAGGCUGUUAUCAUGUCCCCCAUUAAUCAUAUCUUAGCCAAGCAAUUUAUAUUUUUAACUCUUCUAAUGUCUUCUCAUAAAUCAAUCCUCUUAGUCUUUGGGUCAUGUUUGGUGCUCUUCUUUGAACUCUCAAAUUUGUCAAUAUCCAGAAAUGUGUAUAAUAUUCCAGAUGGAGCUGUACCAGCAUCAUGCAGAAAGUGGUGUUUGUUCCUUUCUCAGUGAUGUGACACUGGUUACCCUGUCCAAUAUUGUACUGGCCUUUUCACACCAUAGCUUGUUACCAAUUCAUGUCAUAUAGCACGAGCUAUCUCCCUACAUCUCUUUCAUCAUUAUUGCAUCUGAGAUUUUGCCUUCCUGUUAUUCCUUCUCACAUGAUUUCCUAGGCUGCAUUAUUUUCCAAGUUACGUUUCCUUAGUUGUUUUGUUUCCAUGGUUCUACCUCCCCUAGAAAAAUUUUCUAUUAUUUUCUUUGUUCACUGUCUUUCUUUCACACUCAUAUCUGUGAGUUUCAUCAAAGUGCUGUGGACUCUCUUUUCCAGAUCGUUAAUAAAGAAGUCCAACAGACUGUUCUCAGCAGUCAUCCACAUGGCAGCCAGGAGACAGUUCCCACCACCUUGCUACAUUGCAGUUUAUUUCCUGUAAUUUCAUUACCUCAGCAACUUGAAAGCCACAUGGAAAUGGCUGAGCCAGUGUGAAUUACUUUUUCAGCUAAGAUCCUGUGAGAUACAACUUCGUGCCCCUAUUAAAGCUCAUCUGCACUUGGAUAGUCCCCUGCCCGUGCUCAAGGCCCUGCACCCAAGGCUCACUGAAGACAGAGUGACUGUCAGGAACAGAAACUGGAUUUACAAGAGUCUGUCUGCUGUACCCUUCCUGUUUUUUAAGAUAAUGCCAAAGUGUUCUUGCUAAUGAGAUCAUGUUUGAAAAACAAUGCAUACUUGGACUUGAAAGCAAGCUGAUGGAACGACAGGACAUUCAUUUCUUGGCCAGCCUUGGCUCUGUGGACUCAUCUGGGAUGCGAGGACUUUGCUGACUCUGGUUCCUGUCACUGGACUGGCUCUGAUCCUGUAUGGGUGGUGUGUUCCUGCCUCUGCCUUGCUGUUACCAUCAGCUGUAGAACAGGAGGGGAAUGAGGCCUGUGAAGCCUCAACAGAGCAUGGUGACUUUCAGUUUCUAGUUACUCAAUAUCGUCUUUUUGUUUGGUUUAGUCCAUUCAGUGUGACUAUGUAGCUUUCUUGGGUUUUUUAUCACCAGAACUUGCUAUUUCAUCAAAAAAAUAAGACCAUGCUUGUCUGAGAAGACUUAACUUUCCUGAAAAUGUGCCAAGAUGAAUGUUCUGCUGCCAUCAUUUAAUUAUGUACUGAUUGUCUCCAAUGUUAAGCUUCCAAGACUGGGAUGAUGCCUCUUUUCAUCUUAAUAAGUUGAAUAUCUAUUAGUCAUCAUGUUGACCAUUUUAAAACAUUAGCAUUACUUUAGCUUCUUUUAUAGUCCUCUCAGACUCUUCCAGCUUUUAAAAGAAGUCAGUGUAUGUGGAUCAGAGUGUUCCCUGGCAAGAUGCUUUCAUACCCGAGUAGAAGUUGGCCAGCACCAUUUAUUUGCUGCUGGGUAAUAUUUCUCUACUGGCUGAUGGAACAAGAAGAGGCUCCACAGUCACUUCAGGAUCUACGAGCACUCCCACACACAAAGCUCUGGCACAAGCAUGAAGUAAAUGCAGUCAGAAGGACUUUAAAAGGAGUUAAAAUAUUUGCAGAAAGAUCAAAAGAUUGGAUUUUGCAUUAUUCUCCUCUGUAAUGGAGACAGAAGAGUAGCCCUGGCUCUAGUCCUCCCUGUAUUAUUAUAUUAAAUACUGCCUGCCCUGAACUUGUUAAAUUUAUACCUUACUUUACCAUCCCAGCACAAGCCUCAUCUAGAAUCACCACUGAGUCCGUAGUCCCCAGACCCUUCAGGAAGAAGCUGGAAGCUUCAGCCCAGCUCUGGUCCAGGUGGGAGCUCCAGCUGCGAGGAGCUGCCUCCCCACUGCUCCGGCAGGCACAAAGCGCCCUCAGUGCUCCCCAUGGCUCCUGACCCUGCUCUGAAAAGCACUUCAGUUCUCAGUGACAGGGCAGGAAAUGCUGCAGGUUUGGGGCAUGCAGAGACAUUUUCACUCAUAUUCUAGUGCAAAAACUGGAUCAUGAACCCAACUGUUUUGUUUCGGUUUUUUGUUUGUUUAGCUUUUUACAAAAGAAAGCACAGGAAAACUAGCUCCAGAGUGAGCAAUUAUUGGUGAAAUAAUUUGCUUUGGAAGUUAAAAGAUGUGAAGAAGUGGUCAAAAUAAUUCAGAUCACUGUAAAAAAGAAUAAGCAUGAGAAAUAAUUGAAGUCACCAAUAAGCCAAUAUGGGAAAAUAUUUUAUGUUCUUUUCCCUUUACUUUGUUUUACUUGGAAAACUUUCUGUUUUGAGAGAUUUCAUAAUAUGUUAGAUAAAAAUGUAUUCAUGAGCCACUUGCUGUUAUUAAAGUACACUGUUAAAAACUCAAGGUAUCCUUUUCCAAUUCAUAACCAAAAUUUCACAUCUUUGUAGCUUCAUCUCUUGAGCUUCACUCAUCAUUUUUCCUAAGUGGAACUUUAGUAUUAAUUUAUUAGACUGUGCCAGCGAGAAAAGCAAAAGGCAAGGGGAAAAAAAAUAAUGUUCCUAAUAACUCAU